rnacentral:rRNA from 1 species
GACGAACGCUGGCGGCGUGCCUAAUACAUGCAAGUAGGACGCAGUUGCGAACGGGUGAGUAACGCGUAGGUAACUACCUCUUUGAGGGGGAUAACUAUUGGAAACGAUAGCUAAUACCGCAUACUAGUAGAUGGACCUGCGUUGUAUUAGCUAGUAUGUUGGGGAAUGGCCUACCUAGGCAACGAAACAUAGCGGACCUGGGAGGGUGGUCGGGCACACUGGGACUGGGAAACGGCCCAGACUCCUAAGGGAGGCAGCAGUAGGGAAACUUCGGGAAUGGGGGGAAACCUGGCCGAGCAAAGCCGCGGGAGGGAAGAAGGGUUUCGGAACGGAAAGCUCUGUUGGUAAGGAAGCGGUACUUAACCAGAAAGGGACGGCUAACUACGUGCCAGCAGCCGCGGUAAUAC